UAAACACACCUAAACUCUCUAGCUGUCACACCUUACACCCCACCCCCUCCUCUUCAUCUUCUCCAAACACACCCCCCAAAUCCUAAACCACCCCAAAAACCACCCCCAUCGGCCUUACUGCCCAGCCCUCACGUCCAACCACCACCCUUCCACCUCCAACCAUGGUUUUCCCCCCUUCCGUCGUCCUGUCAAUCGUCAUGAACGGCGGAAACGAGCCAAAUGACCCCCCGUUGCAUCAUCAACCUCCCCAUCAUCCCCAGCGUCAACUAGCAUGUCACCCCAACAGUCAGCCCUUUCCCCACCGCCCAGCCGUGAACCAGCCUCCCCGACGUCGAACACCACUGCCAUCGACGUUCCAGCUAGCCACCCGCCUCACCUUCACUCAACUCCUUUGAGUCACGUCUGACCAUCACCCAAGCGACCUCAUCGUUCCCACGAUCUCACCACCCAGCUGCCAAACGAAACAUCCCCCCCAUCUCGAUGAACAGUCAUCCAAACGAGUCCAAUUCAUGGUCGUCCACUUCGUUGAUUCCUCAGUUCGUGGUCGUUGUUGAGAUUCCAGGCAGAUUUGAGUUUAUUUUGGUUUCAAAGUUUCCCGAUAGAUUUGUUUCCAUUCGUGUUCGUCGAUGUUUCGAUCCGGUUAGUUGGUUUAAGUUUCAUUUCUGUCCGUAUUUUGUUUGAUAUUCC
rnacentral:lncRNA from 1 species